UCCCCCUUUCCCCCUCCUCUCUGGUUGCUGUCAGUCUGUUCCUUGUUUCCAUGCCUCCGGUUCUAUUUAGCUCAUUUGUUUUGUUCACUAGUUCCUCUCAUAGGUCCACCACAUUCUUUUUGUUGGAAAAGAGAGUUACUAAGACCUGAAUUAAACUUCGCCUCUUGGUGGAAAGGUUGUCAAAGAACUGAUGGACAUGUUUUGAAACGAUUACAGUUGGCCUUCUGAUCACAAAUUAUUUAUGUGCCUCACACAUGAAAAGUACACUCAUCUUCACCUAAGAUCCUUCUUCUUCAAAAAAGUCUCAUCCAUUAUGGCUGACUCAGGCUCAGGAGCCAGGGUCUCCUCAUCUAAAUCGGGUCUAGGUACAUACGAAGCUUCUCUAAUGCAGUUCCCUGAGUAGAGCAACUUGAAUGUUGCUCCCCUCGAUCUGGAGAAGUACAUUAACAGGACAGGUUGUCAGCCCCCCGCACACGCACACAAUGCCGGAAUAGGCUCAGGGUAACUGCCAUGGAUGCUCCUGUAUUGGUAAUACUUAAACAUUUUAGAACAAUGUUAUUUAUAUGUCUUUACUUUAAAUUCUGAAAUAAUUUCAGACUCACAGGAAAGCUGCAAAGACAGUACAAAGAAUCUUGUCCUCCACAAAUGAUACAACCAUGUAAAACAAUCAAACCAGGAAAUUAAUAGUGCUGAUAUAAUACUGUUAAAUUAAUCUAUAGGCCUCAUUCAAAUUUUGUCAAUUCUCUUACUAAUGAAUUUUUGCUAGUCCAGGAUCCAUCACAUUUAGUUGCCUUGUCUCCUCAGCUUUCUCUCUGGCGUGGAUGUUCCCAUUUAGAAAGAGGGAAGCCAGCAGUCACCAGUCCAUAGCUCCUGAAAUCCAGCUUGGCACGGGAGUGAGCUCAGUCCUACUGCCCAAGAGUGAUUUUCUGCUAUUCUCACAUCUACCCUGUGGGCUCCUGUUUUUGCCCUCGGAAUUACCCUUCCUUUUCCAUGAAAUGUAGCAGCCUGUGUUUGCAGCUAAGUAGUUUUCUCAGUGUUCUGUGCUCUUUCAGGUGAUGGUCAGUCAGGUGUGGCCACAAGAGGAGACACAGAAGAGGAACAAAAAAAAACCAAAUUUACUAUACUCACAGGGGAGCCACUGCGUGCCACACACGACUGCCACAAGGGAAGUGCCAGGUUUUAGUCAGGUGGCAGCAGACAGGAAGUGGAAGAGAGGCAUUAGGUUAGAGUCUUUACUGGGGUUUCCUUAGAGAAGGCAGAAAGGUCAGGGUGACAAAUUAAGAUCGGCUAGUUUGAGUAAUUUCUGUGGGUUCUAAAUUAUAAAUCUCUGGUGGCCUGAUACCUGGUCCUAGAAUGAUUAAGGGUCAGAUUAGAGGAGGUGUAGUUCUGGACUAGUUAGUUUGCAUAUCAAAAACAGGCUUCUGGCGGAGUCCUUUGCUAUCUUUAAGGAUUGGCUAACCCUGAGGGCAGUGUCUUCCUAGAAAGGGUUUUAAAAGCUGUGGAAACAUCAUAAUAUAUAGAAUAUAAAAACUAUAAGCAGUACACUCAGCUUGCUCUAUUCUUGUAGAAGUGUUGGGAGUAUUUGGGAGUCCAAAGACUUCUUUUCAUUUUACACUGCUUGUCCCUUUAGUCCAAGCUGGCAGUGCUCCUGCUAGUACAGUUUUUCGAAAUAUUUGUGGUUUGCUGAUGACUCUUACCUGGGUUUACUACCUUAGACAAAAGCCACAUUCUCAAAUCUUAUCAAAAUAAACCCCUCUACCUAGAGCUUCCCGUGAGGCUGCUGUGGUGCAACAUCCUUCAGAUUAGGGGAAUCCCUAUUCUUUAACGGAAGGACCUGGGAGGCACCUCCUUGGGGUUCUUAGGGGGCCUUUUGUCUAUCGCCAAGAUUCUCGGAAGCAUUGCCUUUGAUCUUGCUGAGAUUUAACAAAGGAUACAAUCCCAAAUGUCUCAAACUGAGCUCAUUAUCUUCUGUCCCAUAGUCUAUUGAGUGGGGCGACCAUCUCAGAUAACAGCAUUGGUCUAGUCUUUCAAACCACUAGAGACCUCAAAAUCAUCUUUGGUUCCUUUCCCACCCUCUUCCUUUGUAAGCGGUAUGUUGUCAAGUGUUGACAGUUUUUACCACAGCAAAAUUUCUUCAGUUCAAUUCUGUCAUUCAUGAUGCUCUAGUUGGACACUUAUUUCUUCCCUGGACUACUAUAGUAGUUGCUGAAUGGAAUUUCCUAUUUUCAGAGUCUCUGCUUUCUUCCAGCUCUAGUCUAUGGCUGGCAUUAGCUUCCUAGAACAAAUUAAUUAUCUCCCCAACCCAGAAAUCUUCAAUAGCUUAUUCUCUAGAGACCAGAGUGAAAACCCUUUCACAUAGCAUGCAAGGCCUUCCAGAUUUUGAUCCCUACCUGCCCUUAAGCCUUUAACCCACACUCUUCCACACUUACUCUUCGCCAUAGCCAAAAUGUAAUGUUUUGAAAGUUUCUAACACAUUUUCAUUUUUCUUCAUAGCACUUCUGCACAUUCUGUUUCUUUGGCUUGGUAUGAAUUUUCUUUCUUCCUCAGUCAGUCGCUAGCCUCCUUAUCCUUCAAGGCUCAGCUCAGAUCCCACUUCUCCUCAAAGCUUUUUCUGACUCCCUCAGUCCAAAUGAAACGUGGCAUCCACUAUGUUUCUGUGGCUGCUCAUUGUCCUUCUGUAAUCAUAUUGGUCCAUUCUAUCACUUAGCGUAGUCAGAUGGGGGUGGAGGGUGUGUGUGUGUGGUCCUCCAGACUCUGAGCUUCUUGAGUGCAAAAGGGAACUGGAGCAAAGGAUGCAUCUUAUUUCUUUAUUUUCUGUGUCCUUAUAUAACUUAGAUGGCUAACAACUGCUUAGUGACUUGAGAAGAGAAUGAAUUUUAAUUUAGGAAUAAAAUGGCAAUUGGAAAUAAGCAUCUGGUUCAUGGGAGGAGAUUGGCUGAGGUGCCCUAUCUGAAAUGUUGGUAGAGACACCAAAGUGGUAAGUUGAGGUGGCCACUUUAGAUGAAAACAGGGGGUUGGUUUAAUUAUAGAGUGCAACUUUGGUCUCUUUACUGUCAUUGUUCCUGCUGUUUAUAACAAUGAACACCAAAUCUGUGAUGUGCGGAGUGGAGUGUGUUUUAUUAGUCUCUAUGGGAAGCACUUUGAAAAGGUUAUGCAGGGAUAGGAGAAUUCAGCUGUUUUGCACACACCACUGUAUCCCUAUCACCUUCAUGGUACUUGGCAUGUAAUAGGAGCUCAAUAAAGAUCAGUUAAGGAAAAAAUGAGGAGAAUGAUUUCCCGUGUGACUCUAGGGUACCUACAUGCGCCGUACUCGAGGAACAUAGCUGAGGGUGCUUCUUCAAAAGUCAGCUCAAGUUAAGAGAAGGCUUAUUUGUCACAAGUGACUUAUCUAGGGUCCUCUUGAUUCUCAGAGUGUACUGCUUUGCCACAGCGGAGUGGGAGUUAUUAGGGCUGUGGGAGGUAGGCAGGGUGAUUGGUGGCAAGUAAUUGGCAGAAUUGCGAUCUGAAUUGGGCAGUCAGAAGUGACAGGAGCUUCUCCUAGGUGGCCAGGAGGGGUGUCUGGGCUGUGUCCUUAGCUAAGGAAGAGGAGACUGUUUAAGCUUUGUCAGGGUUUUGUUUGUUUGUUUGUUUUAUUUUUAAAUAAUAAGAAUCCUUGCCAGAAACCAGCCUUCCUGGGUCCAGUCUCAGUGCACUGUGCUUUCUAUACGACCUUUCGCAGGCUGUACUUACACCCUGGGCUAUGUUUUGAGCUGACAAAUGGAGGUUUCUUUUUCAGCUAUGAGAACUGGGGUGGAGAGAGGGUUUCAAGACAAUUAGGUAAGUGGCUUGGCAUCAAAAUAGAGCCUACAUGGGUUUAUAGUUUUUCUUUGAAAGUUUUAGCAAGGUCCUAGGCUGACAGCCUAUGGUGCAUGGUUGUCUGGAAUACUGAAUAUCCUUCUUGAAGCUGGACUUCCCCUGUAUUCCAUUCUGAGUAUCAAACCCGGGAAGCCUCUCUGAGUCUGUGAUUGUGAUAAUUGGAUGGGAGGGGUUGGGGCAAUUUAGGAAGAUGAUGGGGGCCUGACCUCUUCCUGCCUUUGGAAUCCACAAAGGAGGGAGAAUGGGGAAAAUGAUGAAUAGUUGAUCAAAAAAUGGGGAGUGUCCCUCCUAAAUUAGGACAGCUGGCUCAGCGACAAAAUCGUUUUACUCUGCUAAUGGCCCUCAGAACCAGAUGCUAUGGAAACAGAAAUUAAACUACGACUUUGGGCAGCUCUCUGCAUCCAGUGAGGGCAGUGUAACCUCUUCUCUCUGCCCCGGCCCAGCCAUGGGUUCCCCUAGGGGAGUCUCAAGAGUUUUGAGAGAGGGGGCUUGUUGGGCCCAUGUCCCUAGAUCCCAGGGAGAGGGUAGAUUCAAUUCAGAGGAGCCUCAGGAUAUAGUGGGUUUUACAUCUGCUCGACCUUUGGUUUGUCCUUGGAGACUCUGUGCCUUGUUCUUUUUGGUAGGGCUAGUUCAAGGUGAUCUCUCCCUGUUCCAUAGAUAGGAGGGUUGGCCUGCUUGGUCUCUCCAUAUCCCCGAGAAACCAAUUUUGCUGCAGGGCUGGGUGAACCAUAUGGCAGCCUAGAUUACAAUGAUUGUUGGCGUUCGUCAACAGAGAAAGCGGGCUUUUUGGCUAUAGCUAAUCCCUCAGGUAGGGUUGCCACACCAUCUGUGAACACAGCAUAUAGGAUCAGCUAGACGGGCAUGCGGUCCUGUUCUUAUCCACUCUGCUUCCCGAAGAAGGGAGAGGCAAGAUCGUCAUCAAAUAUUGGCUAAUAGGUAUGUUUUUUUAGCUCCUUUAUUGUUAUGUUCCUUGAAGGAUGCUAGGGAGGUCUAGUAGUCAUGUGUCUUGCUCUUAAGAGGUUUAUGGUCUAGUUGGGGAUGUCAGAUGAAUGUGAGUCAAUAACAAACAACAUAAAGCAAAAGGUACAUAAUAAUUGCAAAGAGGGAAAAUAGACUAUACAAUUCAAAGAUAGGGAAGAUCAAUUAAGGGCUAAAAUUUUCCAGGACAAGGUUAGGACUGGAGGUCAGUCUAGAAUAAUGAGUGAAUGAGUGGGUUUUUGUGGUUCAGGAGGAUAAGGGAAAGGCUUCUAGGCCAAAAGAGCAAUAUGAACAGAAUAGAGACAAGCAUGCUGUCUUUACAAGACCACGAGGAGAUUAAUGUGGUUGGGGUAGAGAUAGAGGGGAAAUGAGAUUAGGAAAGAAGGGCAAAACAGAUUAAAGAGGGUCUCCAGAGAUAGGCAGAGGAGUUUGUGCUGGGUUCUAGGGGAGAUACGGUGCUAUUGUAGGUACUGGUGUGGAGAUAUGAUAUGAAGAGAAGAAUGUUUGCAGAUACUUUGCAGACACAAUUUGGAGUAGACUGGAGUUGGAGAGAGAUAAAUACUGAAGAGAUCAAGUAGGGCGUUAUAAAGUCCUUGCAGCCCUGGGAAGAGUCUGGUAACUAGAUGGUGUUGGGUUUUUUUUGUUUGUUUGUUUUUUUCCAGAUUCUAUGAGACUUGGUGAUGAGCUGGGUAGCAGGCCUGAAGGAGAGAAAGGGGUCAAGGUUUGAUCUUGGAAACCUGGGAAAAAUAAUAGUGCCAUUAGCAAAAAUGGAGAACUUGUGAGGAAAAGUAAUUUUAAGGGAGAAAAUGAUGAAUUUGGCAAUGAUUUUAUUUACUUAACAAAUGCUUUUGUGACACAAUGUACUUAGCACUGUAUUAACCACUUUAUAAAUGUUAAUUCAUCUAGUUCUCAUAACCAUAUAAAAUAAAUACUGAUAUUAUCCUCUUUAUUACACUGAGAAAAACACACAUAGAGAAGCUAAACGAUUUUCCCAAGGUCAUGAAGCUGUAAAUAAAUGGCAGAGGCAGGAUUCCGAACCCCAGCAGUUUAUGCUAGGCUUCCUCUUGUUGCUGAGAGGCACAAGUAGAAAAUACAGUGGACAGUAGGAGAUCAAAAUUUGGGGGGUGCUUUCUUUUUGCAGAACUCCUUGCAGGAAAUGUAACAAUGAAUACAGCGUGAAUAUACCAUCAAUGAGCUUGCAAAGCUCUAGUGAGGGAACGGCAGAUCAUCACAUCAUGGUCAAGGGUGCUACGUUUUAUGCUACAGGAGAGAAGGAGAGAGGAGUGGGGGACAACUACAUAUCUAGUUAGAGAUGUCAGAAAAGACUCCAAGGAGAAGGAGAUGGAAUUAUAGCUAAACCCUAAAAGAUGGGUUAAGUGGACUUUGGUAGUUGUUAGGAAGAGAAAGUCAUUCCUGGCAGAGGCAGAGAUAAAGGCUUGAUUCCAGUCAUGGAAGAAAGAAAGUUCAAACAUUUCUGGGAUCAGCACACUGUCCCGUACCCUAGCUCAGCAGAUGUUUAACUUGAACUAGGAGCGGAGAUGUUUUCUUCAGGCUGCAACACAAAGUAUAAAUCAGAGAAGCACUAGAGAGAAGGCUGGGUAUCCAGUGCCUUUCAUUGAAGAUUGAAGACACCGUCCUUUCUCCAUUGUACUUUCUUGGAUUUUUUUGUUGAAAAUUAGUUCACCAGAUAUGCCUUCUUAUGAAUGAAUCAUGAAAAUGAACUUCUUUUUAAAAGGUAAAACAGUACCAGUAAAUCUUAAAAAGAGAGAGCAGUCUGGGGCUCCUUUGAUAGAGGGCUGGAGCCCGAGAGGACAAGACCGGAGAUGCAGGAUUCCAAGUCCAUUGUCUGCAAAUGAGGAGUGGGGAGCCCGUGCUGGACGAGCAGAGGACUCCCGGAGGGAAGACCACAGGGAGGGAAGACCUGAGGAUGGACCUUUCGUUCUUACGCAUGAAGAUAGGUAGACUAUUCUUACUUUGGGAGGAGCCCAAACAUUUCCUAAGAUAAGGCCUGUUGACUUAUGGGAGGUGGUGUUUCUCUCCUAGAUGAGGAGACCGGUUUACGGCUCUCUGCUUUUGUUCUUCAGGGGUCUCCCACUCACCUGGGAUAAGUGAAAUUCUCAUUGUCCUAGUCCCCCAAGUAGAUGUAGACAGGAAUCCUUAGGACCCUUCUGCCUGGACUCAAGAAGGGAUUGGAAAAAUACAAGGCCAUGUACACAUUACAGGAGCAGAAGUGACGUUUCAAGGACUCAUAUGAGUUCGUCGUGUAGUGUGAGACUUAAAGUGGUUGACAUUAUUCUCUUAUUGUCAUGGGCGGUGACGUCCAGAGGAUAGCAGAGUGUGGUCCAUUCUCAUAAUCCAUACCCUGUGAGGCCUUUAAGCAUCAUUUUUAGGAAAGCAGUGUUGAGUAGGGACAAAACUUAAAAAUGCAGAGGUCACGCAUUACUCGGGGACUUCUUCAGUGGCCCUAACCUCAGACUUCAUCUCAUAAAACAGCCUAGUCCUAGGAGAUGUCAGUUUAAACUCCAAUUUGCCACUUUAUCUCUGUGACCUUGGGACAGCUGACCUGUGCAAGCCUGUUUCCUUCACUGAUAAAUAGGGUUAUGGUACUGGCUUUUCUUACCAACAGGAUUGUGUGAGGCUUGGAGGAAAUAUCUGUGAAAGUGCUUGGAGGUUGCAAAGUGCUGUAUCAGAGUAUGCUGAUAUUGCUACAACUACUAAUCAGUUUGCUCACUCUUUUUUCUUCUUAAAUUUUGAGAGUACGUUUAUUAAAGCUGGGGACAGUGCAACCAGGAAGGGCCCGGGAUAGAAGAAGCGACAGGGGAGAGCCUAGGCAGGGCUGCUUUGGCUGUCCAGGAACGUUGUGGGAAAGAAGUGAGCCAACGCGGGUCUGCUGUCAGCUCACUGGGGAGUCAGAGAAAAAGGGGCUUUGGGGACGGGUUCAGGGGAUUGGCCCUGGAUAAGCUGCUGCUGCCCAUUGCUCCCCUGUUAGCAAGUCUGUGGGGACCCUUAGAGUUUAGGAGAGGCUUGCCUGUGGGGGAAGGGAAGGGAGAAGGGAAAGGCACAGGCAUGCUCCCAGGAGGGAGAACGGCCUGCUCACUCUUAAUUUAAUGCUCUUUUGCAUAACUUCUUUACAGUCCCUCUGCCAAGGACUUAAAGGGCAAGGCCGCAGAAUGGGAGUUUGAGAUGCAGCAUAAAAUACUUCCUCAGGCAGACAUAUUCUAUUUCAUCGGCUCUAUGACGCACUCCCUCUCCCCGCAAAACCCGUCCCUUAACAUCUCUGAAAUUUGGCUGUGCUUUACAACUUGGAGGCAUAAUAGUUAUGAUGAAAUCAGCUAACUCUUUUCUUGGAGCCAAGUGGACCACAUCCACAAACUUUCUGUUUUCUACGUGUAUUGCUGAAAUGCAUGGGGGAAAUUUGCUGCUUCAGUAACUGUAGAAUUCAGUCUGUCUCUGAGCACCUUGCCUCAUAUCAUGGUCAUCCCUUCUCACUGCAUAGAUCUCUGGAAGCGGAAGUUUAGCUUGAACAUGUAUGUCUUGAUCUUGGAGCAUAGCCUGCCUGUUGCUUUAAAGAAAAAACAAAAACAACAAACUCAAGUGGCAAUUUUGUGGUUAUAUCCUGCUUCCUCUGAAAGUGGAAGGCAAGAUGCAUUUUGGUGAAUGGAUUGUUUAUGUUACCUGCAUUUGAUGUCUUGGGCCCUGGCAUGUUAGAAGGUGAGCUUCUGGUCUCCUGUCCCUGUCCUGUCAACUCCUAACAAAAACUCCUCCAAGAGACAGGCCAACAGGUACACUCUUCAUGAAGCUUCUCUUUGGGAUGAAUUCUGUUCUUGCUUCUUUUACCUUUGAAAGCUCUUCAGAUUCAAUGGCAAAUUCUUAGUGCCAAUUCUUGUUUUUCUCCUAUGGUUGAUCUGGGUGUGG